rnacentral:rRNA from 1 species
ACUCGAGUGGCGAACGGGUGAGUAACACGUGGGUGAUCUGCCCUGCACUUCGGGAUAAGCCUGGGAAACUGGGUCUAAUACCGGAUAGGAGCCAUUUUUAGUGUGAUGGUUGGAAAGUUUUUCGGUGUAGGAUGAGCUCGCGGCCUAUCAGCUUGUUGGUGGGGUAAUGGCCUACCAAGGAGGCGACGGGUAGCCGGCCUGAGAGGGUGGACGGCCACAUUGGGACUGAGAUACGGCCCAG